rnacentral:rRNA from 1 species
GACGAACGCUGGCGGCGUGCCUAAUACAUGCAAGUCGAACGCACUCUCGUUUAGAUUGAAGGAGCUUGCUCCUGAUUGAUAAACAUUUGAGUGAGUGGCGGACGGGUGAGUAACACGUGGGUAACCUGCCCUAAAGUGGGGGAUAACAUUUGGAAACAGAUGCUAAUACCGCAUAAAACCUAAACACCGCAUGGUGUAGGGUUGAAAGAUGGUUUCGGCUAUCACUUUAGGAUGGACCCGCGGUGCAUUAGUUAGUUGGUGAGGUAAAGGCUCACCAAGACCGUGAUGCAUAGCCGACCUGAGAGGGUAAUCGGCCACACUGGGACUGAGACACGGCCCAGACUCCUACGGGAGGCAGCAGUAGGGAAUCUUCCACAAUGGACGAAAGUCUGAUGGAGCAACGCCGCGUGAGUGAAGAAGGUUUCGGAUCGUAAAACUCUAGUUGUUGGAGAAGAAAUGUAAUCUGAUAGUAACUGAUCAGGU